UACGUAGGGUGCGAGCGUUAAUCGGAAUUACUGGGCGUAAAGCGUGCGCAGGCGGCGCGUUAAGACAGGUGUGAAAGCCCCCGAGCUUAACUUGGGAAUUGCGCUUGUGACUGGCGUGCUGGAGUGUGGCAGAGGGAGGUGGAAUUCCACGUGUAGCAGUGAAAUGCGUAGAUAUCGGAAGGAACAUCAGUGGCGAAAGCGACUUCCUGGACCAGUACCGACGUUCAGGCACGAAAGCGUGGGGAGCAAACAGG
rnacentral:rRNA from 1 species